GACAGUACUGACGCUGAGAUGCGAAAGCGUGGGGAGCAAACAGGAUUAGAUACCCUGGUAGUCCACGCUGUAAACGAUGUCGAUUUGGAGUUUGUUGCCUAGAGUGAUGGGCUCCGAAGCUAACGCGAUAAAUCGACCGCUGGGGAGUACGGCCGCAAGGUUAAAACUCAAAUGAAUUGACGGGGGCCCGCACAAGCGGUGGAGCAUGUGGUUUAAUUCGAUGCAACGCGAAGAACCUUACCUGGUCUUGACAUCCAUAGAAUUCUGCAGAGAUGUGGGAGUGCCUUCGGGAACUAUGAGACAGGUGCUGCAUGGCUGUCGUCAGCUCGUGUUGUGAAAUGUUGGGUUAAGUCCCGCAACGAGCGCAACCCUUAUUCUUUGUUGCCAGCGAUUUGGUCGGGAACUCAAAGGAGACUGCCGUUGAUAAAGCGGAGGAAGGUGGGGACGACGUCAAGUCAUCAUGGCCCUUACGACCAGGGCUACACACGUGCUACAAUGGCGUAUACAAAGGGAAGCGAAGGUGCGAGCUGGAGCGGAUCUCAUAAAGUACGUCUAAGUUCGGAUUGGAGUCUGCAACUCGACUCCAUGAAGUCGGAAUCGCUAGUAAUCGUAGAUCAGAAUGCUACGGUGAAUACGUUCCCGGGCCUUGUACACACCGCCCGUCACACCAUGGGAGUGGGUUGCACCAGAAGUAGAUAGCUUAACCGCGAGGGGGGCGUUUACCACGGUGUGAUUCAUGACUGGGGUGAAGUCGUAACAAGGUAACCA
rnacentral:rRNA from 1 species